CUAAGGGAAGGUUAAAAGAGGAGGUGGCUAGGAAAUAUUUCCAGCAAUUGAUAUCUGCAGUGUCAUUUUGUCAUGCCAGGGGCGUGUUUCAUCGAGAUCUCAAGCCGGAAAAUCUCUUGCUUGAUGAGAAUGGUAACUUGAAAGUCUCUGAUUUCGGCCUUAGUGCGGUCUCCGAUCAGAUUAGACAAGAUGGUUUGUUUCAUACUUAUUUUGUGGGACACCGGCAUAUGUUGCGCCGGAAGUUCUGGCGAGAAAAGGUUACGA
rnacentral:misc_RNA from 1 species